rnacentral:rRNA from 1 species
CCUACGGGGGGCAGCAGUGAGGAAUAUUGGUCAAUGGGCGCGAGCCUGAACCAGCCAAGUAGCGUGAAGGAUGACUGCCCUACGGGUUGUAAACUUCUUUUAUAAAGGAAUAAAGUGAGGCACGUGUGCCUUUUUGUAUGUACUUUAUGAAUACGGAUCGGCUAACUCCGUGCCAGCAGCUGCGGUAAUACGGAGGAUGCGAGCGUUAUCCGGAUUUAUUGGGUUUAAAGGGUGCGUAGGCGGAUUUUUAAGUCAGCGGUAAAAGGUGCGGGCUCACCCCGGGCCGGCCGUUGAAACUGGGGAUCGUGAGUGGGCGAGAGGUAUGCGGAAUGCGUGGUGUAGCGGUGAAAUGCAUAGAUAGCACGCAGAACUCCGAUUGGGAAGGCAGCAGGCCGGCGCCCGACUGACGCUGAGGCACGAAAGCGUGGGGAUCGAACAGGAUUAGAUACCCGAGUAGUC